rnacentral:rRNA from 1 species
UACGAAGGGUGCAAACGUUGCUCGGAAUCAUUGGGCGUAAAGCGCACGUAGGCGGCCUUGCAAGUCGGAUGUGAAAUCCCACGGCUCAACCGUGGACGUGCAUCCGAAACUGCUCGGCUCGAGUAUGGAAGAGGGUCGCGGAAUUCCCGGUGUAGAGGUGAAAUUCGUAGAUAUCGGGAGGAACACCAGUGGCGAAGGCGGCGACCUGGGCCAAUACUGACGCUGAGGUGCGAAAGCGUGGGGAGCGAACAGG